rnacentral:lncRNA from 1 species
CUGCUCCUGACUCUACACGUAGCUGAUAAUGAGAAGGGAAGAUGGGGCUCCCGUUUUGAACAUGAUUGGCACAACUGCCAGCAUCUAUGUCUGCAGCUCGAUUUUAUAGGCUGCUCAUUGUUAGAAAGGAAAAUGAUUUGGAGCUACUUUUCAUUAAAAGGAAAACCUUACUGAGGACUGCUGUACCCUCACUAUCUGCUUAAGUAAUUUCUUCUUUUUUUUUUUUUUUUUGAGACGGAGUCUCCAUGUUAGAGUGCGGUAGCACGAUCUCGGCUCACUGCAACCUCUGCCUCCCGGAUUCAAGAGAUUCUCCUGCCUCAGCCUCCGGAGUAGCUGGGACUACAGGCGCGUACCAACACACCCAGCUAAUUUUUGUAUUUUUAGUAGAGAUGGUGUUCCACCACGCUGGCCAGGAUGGUCUUGAUCCUUGACCUCCUGAUCUGCCUGCCUCGGCAUCUCAAAGUGCUGGGAUUACAGGCGUGAGCCACUGCACCCGGCCAGUAAUUUCUUCUUAACUCCUGUAUCAACAUAUGAUAAAAUAGAGCAUUUUAAAAACAAGUUUUUGAAAAGAUUAAGAAUUUAUAAAAAGCUCUAAGAAGGAAACUUCAAAUACGGAUCUCAAUCACAAGCAAGGGUAAUGAGGACCCAGUGACCAUGAAGAGGCUCCAGAACUUCAUGACCUUCUGUUAUGAAAAGUUACUUAUAGUACUAUCUGUGCUCAACAGAAAAGUGCCUACUGAAGGUGCUAGCUGACCAGGGAGCAUGAGUCCUCCUACCCUAAGGGAAAAGUCAGGGAAGAAGAAUGCAAGACCCUGGAAGAAUGCCAGUGUAUAACACCCCAAGUCAAAAGGUCAAACUGUGCACUUGAUCUCUCAAGUUGCCUGCUAGGCCAUCUUCCACAUGUAUUUUACUUCUUUUCCUUCUUGCUUUAAAGCUUUUUAAUAAACUUGCACCCCU